CAGGGAUUGCCCUAGUAACGGCGAGUGAAGCGGCAACAGCUCAAAUUUGAAAUCUGGCUUCGGCCCGAGUUGUAAUUUGCAGAGGAUGUUUCUGGCGCGGUGCCUUCCGAGUUCCCUGGAACGGGACGCCACAGAGGGUGAGAGCCCCGUAUGGUUGGACACCAAGCCUGUGUGAAACUCCUUCGACGAGUCGAGUAGUUUGGGAAUGCUGCUCAAAAUGGGAGGUAAAUCUCUUCUAAAGCUAAAUACUGGCCAGAGACCGAUAGCGCACAAGUAGAGUGAUCGAAAGAUGAAAAGCACCUUGAAAAGGGGGUUAAACAGUACGUGAAAUUGUUGAAAGGGAAGCACUUGUGACCAGACUUGUGCCGGGCGGUUCAUCCGGGGUUCUCCCCGGUGCACUCCGCCCGGUAUAGGCCAGCAUCGGUUCUUUCUGGGGGAUAAGAACGGUGGGAACGUGGCCCUCCCUCGGGAGGGUGUUAUAGCCCGCCGUACGAUACCCUGGAGGGGACCGAGGUUCGCGCUCCGCAAGGAUGCUGGCGUAAUGGUCACCAGUGACCCGUCUUGAAACACGGACCAAGGAGUCGUCCAUUAGAGCGAGCGUUUGGGUGUCAAACCCGCACGCGUAAUGAAAGUGAAAUUAGGUGAGAGCUUCGGCGCAUCAUCGACCGAUCCUGAUGUUCUCGGAUGGAUUUGAGUAAGAGUUUUAACGGACGGACCCGAAAGACAGUGAACUAUGCUUGUAUAGGGUGAAGCCAGAGGAAACUCUGGUGGAGGCUCGCAGCGGUUCUGACGUGCAAAUCGAUCGUCAAAUAUGAGCAUGGGGGCGAAAGACUAAUCGAA
rnacentral:rRNA from 1 species